rnacentral:sRNA from 1 species
AUUAUUUUAUUAUAUGAUUGUGUGACAUAUUUGAGUGCAAUGAUUAUUAGUGUAUAAUGUUAUCUGAUGAAAUAAUUAGGGGUUUGAAUGGUUAUGGCGGUUGGGGCGGACAAAACCGUCAACGGAUCAGACCGUUUUUUAUUUAUCAUUCAUCAAUUAUAGUCCGCAGUGGUCUGGACUUAAAAAAAUAGAAGAAAAUCGUUGCGGACCAUCUGCGGACCGUUUUUACAUACAAAUAAACUUGGUCCGCAGCGGUUUAUUGUCCACCCCAAAAAUGAGAUGGACUAAACCGCAGACAAAUUAGACCGCUUUGUCCGCUGCCUUCAUUCAUAGCCUAGAUGUGUAUCAUACAAAGCGUUUCUUUCUCUCUCUCUCUCAAACCUAAUUAGAAAACAAA